AUCUUCCACAGUGGGCGAAAGCCUGAUGGAGCAACGCCGCGUGAGUGAAGAAGGCUUNNNGAUCGNACAACUCUGUUGUAAGGNAAGNACAAGUACAGUAGUAACUGGCUGUACCUUGACGGUACCUUAUUAGAAAGCCACGGCUAACUACGUGCCAGCAGCCGCGGUAAUACGUAGGUGGCAAGCGUUGUCCGGAAUUAUUGGGCGUAAAGCGCGCGAAGGCGGACCUUUAAGUCGGAAGGGAAAACCCACGGCGCAACCGUGGAGGGUCAUUGGAAACUGGGGGACUUGAGUGCAGAAGAGGAAAGUGGAAUUCCAAGUGUAGCGGUGAAAUGCGUAGAGGUUUGGAGGAACACCAGUGGCGAAGGCGACUUUCUGGUCUGUAACUGACGCUGAGGCGCGAAAGCGUGGGGAGCAAACA
rnacentral:rRNA from 1 species